CUGGGUAUACUUUACAGGAUCACUUCUGUAGUUAGUCUUCAUUUAAAUUUUUUUUGAAAUCGACCCGCGAUGACGAGGUUUAUCGUUUUAUCUGACAGCGGGAGGUUUAUGAACUUCAUUUCUAAUAUUGUGUUGUGGCAUAUAAGAAAUGAUGUUUCUUCGAAAAUCGCUCGCUUACAACGGAUAAAACGACUUCUGAGUGGU
rnacentral:snoRNA from 1 species